UACGGAGGGUGCGAGCGUUGUCCGGAAUCAUUGGGCGUAAAGGGCGCGUAGGUGGCCCGGUCAGUUCGUGGUGAAAGCGCGGGGCUCAACUCCGCGUCGGCCAUGAAUACUGCUGGGCUUGAGCACUGUAGAGGCAGGCGGAAUUCCGGGUGUAGCGGUGGAAUGCGUAGAGAUCCGGAAGAACACCGGUGGCGAAGGCGGCCUGCUGGGCAGUGGCUGACACUGAGGCGCGACAGCGUGGGGAGCAAGCAGG
rnacentral:rRNA from 1 species